GUUUUCGUGGUGUAGUGGUCAACACACUCGACGCGCAACCGGGAAGUCGGUGGUUCGAAUCCCGGCGAAGGCG
rnacentral:tRNA from 1 species